UACGGGGGGAGCAAGCGUUGUUCGGAUUUACUGGGCGUAAAGGGCGCGUGGGCGGCCACCGCAAGUCAGUUGUGAAAGCUCUGGGCUUAACCCAGAAAGGUCAACUGAUACUGCGGGGCUAGAGUGCAGAAGGGGCAACUGGAAUUCUCGGUGUAGCGGUGAAAUGCGUAGAUAUCGAGAGGAACACCUGCGGCGAAGGCGGGUUGCUGGGCUGACACUGACGCUGAAGUGCGAAAGCUAGGGGAGCGAACGGG
rnacentral:rRNA from 1 species